CAAAUACUGGAUCGUAUGGAGCAUGAGUGUAUUCAUGUUCCCCUUUUAAAGAAGAAGUGAAGCAUUCAGAUGAAGAUGUAAAACUUACAGCUCCUUCUAUACCUUUCCUGCCAGAAUGCAGCCAUGUUACUGCCUUGAUGAUACUGGACUGAAACUCUGAACCUGAAUUUGGAUGAACUUCCUGUUUCAGUUCAGGUGUAACUGAAAAUUCCACAUCAUCACUUUCGAGGAUACAAAUAUACAAAGAUGACCUCCAUCUUUACUGACCUCUAUAAGUAUUCAUACUCUCAGCUAAGUAAGUUAACAACGAACUGAAUAUUGAAGAGGGCAAUGGUGUCUGCUUCCUUAAGGAACCAUAGACUUUUUAAGAAAAAAUAAGGGAAUUUUCUGUGAAAAUGAUAGUGAG
ensembl:lncRNA